CCUACGGGAGGCAGCAGUAAGGAAUAUUGGUCAAUGGAGGCAACUCUGAACCAGCCAUGCCGCGUGCAGGAUGACGGCCCUAUGGGUUGUAAACUGCUUUUAUACAAGAGAAAACCCUGGUACGUGUACCAGGUUGAUAGUAUUGUAAGAAUAAGCAUCGGCUAACUUCGUGCCAGCAGCCGCGGUAAGACGAAGGAUGCAAGCGUUAUCCGGAUUCAUUGGGUUUAAAGGGUGCGUAGGCGGACUGAUAAGUCAGUGGUGAAAUCUCUUUGCUUAACAAAGAAACUGCCAUUGAUACUGUCGGUCUAGAGUAUAGAUGACGUUGGCGGAAUAUGACAUGUAGUGGUGAAAUACUUAGAUAUGUCAUAGAACACCGAUUGCGAAGGCAGCUAACGAAACUAUAACUGACGCUGAGGCACGAAAGUGCGGGGAUCAAACAGGAUUAGAUACCCUGGUAGUCCGCACCGUAAACGAUGAUUACUCGUUGUUGGCGAUAUGACAGUCAGCGACCAAGCGAAAGCGAUAAGUAAUCCACCUGGGGAGUACGCCGGCAACGGUGAAACUCAAAUGAAUUGAGGCUGAGGACGNGCGAGGCGACACGAGGGGAGGAGG
rnacentral:rRNA from 1 species